rnacentral:rRNA from 1 species
UACGUAGGGUGCAAGCGUUGUCCGGAAUUAUUGGGCGUAAAGAGCUCGUAGGCGGUCUGUUGCGUCGGCUGUGAAAACCCAGGGCUCAACCCUGGGCCUGCAGCCGAUACGAGCAGACUAGAGUUCGGCAGGGGAGACUGGAAUUCCUGGUGUAGCGGUGAAAUGCGCAGAUAUCAGGAGGAACACCGGUGGCGAAGGCGGGUCUCUGGGCCGAAACUGACGCUGAGGAGCGAAAGCGUGGGGAGCGAACAGG